rnacentral:rRNA from 1 species
UACGGAGGGUGCAAGCGUUAAUCGGAAUUACUGGGCGUAAAGCGCACGCAGGUGGCUGAGUCAGUCGAUUGUGAAAGCCCUGGGCUUAACCUGGGAAUUGCAGUCGAUACUACUCAGCUAGAGUAUGGGAGAGGGUAGUGGAAUUCCCGGUGUAGCGGUGAAAUGCGUAGAUAUCGGGAGGAACAUCAGUGGCGAAGGCGGCUCACUGGACCGGUUCUGACGCUGAGGCGCGAAAGCGUGGGGAGCAAACGGG